AAAAACAUUGCCUCUCGACUCAACAAUGAGAGGUUCAUCCUGCCCAAUGACAACAUAGUUUAAUGGCCGCGGUACCCUGACCGUGCAAAGGUAGCAUAAUCAUUUGCCCCUUAAUUAGGGGCUAGCAUGAAAGGACACACGAAAGCUUCCCUGUCUCACAAUAACAAAUAAAAAUUAAUCUUCAAGUGAAAAAGCUUGAAUGAAACUGCAGGACAAGAAGACCCCGUUGAGCUUUAUUCUCUAUAGACUAAAUCAAAUAUUAAAUAUAUCAUAAACCUAAAAAGAAUUUAGUUGGGGUGACUAAGGAACACCAAAAACUUCCUUUUAUUAAUUAGGAUUAUUCUCCAUAUAAAUUGACCCAUUACAUAUGAUCAAAAAAAUAAGCUACCACAGGGAUAACAGGCUAAUCUUUCUCAAGAGCCCAAAUUGUCAGAAAGGAUUGGCACCUCGAUGUUGGCUUAGGGGCCCCUAAUGGUGCAGAAGCCAUAAAUGGUAGGUUU
rnacentral:rRNA from 1 species